UCUGCCCACAAGAUUGGAAGCAGGUGAGGCAUACAGAGGAAAGGCCACUGCCCCGUGGGGGAGGGGUGGUCUGAGGGACCAGGGACCCCCGGGGAUGGGGCCGGUUUACAGAUCAGCGCAUGGACAUCUUCCAAGAAAGUGACAAAGACGGCAAAGUUGGCGGUCUGGAAAGCGGGAGGCCAACAGGGCUGACUACCUGGGAGAUCAGCACGUGAAAUGAAACCGCACACAUAAAUCUGUAAUUCCGAACAGGACAUGGGUGUUUUUAUGCCCAGGUGACACUUGAGGAAACUGAGACCCAGAGAGUGGCACCCAAAGGUGAAUGAAGCUGCAAGUCAACCCCACAUGCGUCCAACUCCAAAUUUCAUGUUUCUGACAUGCCUGGGUGGGAGUAGGGCCCUUGGAAAUCAGACCUUGCCUCUAUCCAGGGGGACCAGGAACGGAAAAGAGGAGGCAGUGGAGAAGCAGGAAGCCCGGAUGUUAUGGCUUGGCUCAGGCCAGGAGAUACAAAGUAUCUGAGUCUGAACCCAGGGACCAUACCCAUCUUACUACACUUUCCUGGGGAAAUCGGUGAAGGAAUGGCAUUUGAAGCCCUCCCUAGGCCAGAAUUCUUUGGAGACUUCUCAAUAACAUUUCCGGGAAUGAUAUUUUUCUCCCCUAUCCUGCCAUCAGUUCCAUGUACCAAUUAUAGGACAGAUGUAAGUUUGUGCCUGGUAGGUGAGUUGUGACCUCAACAAGACUCACCCCCAAUUCCCUAUGACAUCCUAAUCAAGUCACAGACACCACAGCAAGUUUGUUCUAGCCUUAGAGCCUUUGCUAUUCCCUCAGCUUGGAAAGCUCUGCCCCCCCACAGCAUCCCACUGCUCACGCUACCUUCUUACCCAAGUUUCAUGUCGUUGAGGGAAGUUUUCCUUGUUGCCUCACACUGCCCCCCUCCCCGUGUCAAGUCGAUAUUAUACAUUCUCAUAGACCUGGGAUAUCUUCUCUCCAUCACUUCAGUUAUUUUUGUGUUAUCUGUCUGCAGGACUGUCUGUGUCACCAUUAUACUGUGAGCUCCAUGAAGGCAGAGAUUGUGUUUGUAUUUUCACUGCUGUGUCCCCAGCACCCAAUUCAGGACCUGGCACACAGCAGGUGCUCAAUAAACAUUUGUUGAAUCAACAAAGGCAUCAGAGAAUAAACCAAUGCAUCAAUCAAUAAGUGAAUUGAUGGCUUCAGCACACACAUAGAGAUCCUGCUUCUCCUUGGUCUCCCCAACAGAGAUACCAUAGGGUGAUGGUUGCUGCAGGUGUUUAUUGGGGAGUAUAAUUAAAUUUGUGGACACUCAAGGGCCAGCCAGCCAACUAAUAGCCCCAGGAGAGAGCCAGGCUCAUUUAAUUAGCAAUUACAAGGCAUUGAUUCCUCAUUAGCUCCAGCAACCCCUGUCUCCCUCUUCAGCCCCAGACAAAUGAAAUCUUUCUCUCUCCCAGGAGUACUGCCUCAGUGGGUCCAUUAACAAGCAGAGAAAAUACGAUUACAAGACACCUAAAUGCCAGAGGCGGUUCAUGAAUGGGGUGGGGAGAGGGGGUUCAAUGUCUGGGUUAAGGCUAAUUGUGAGAGAUUUUCUGGUAUAUUUAGAAUCACCCUCUGGGAACUGGAGAGCUUUUGGAUAGGAGAAGACACCCAGAUACUGCCCCCCCCAAUUAGGGACCCCAUUGAAAGAGUAGAUUCUACCCUGGUAGUUCUGUGAAUGUCUCACUCUGAGUGUCUCACACUUACUCCAAAUUAAUCAUUCCAAAUUGAACACCCAAUGCACCCAACCGCCAGUAUGCCCCUCUUUCCGUGUCCCCAUCAAUGUGGCAGUCUCUCUACAUCCCAGAGACCCCCCCCCCCUUCAUAUCCACCAAUCCUCUUCCCUGAAUUCCCCCAAGGUAAGUCAUUCUGGUUAAAUCCAUCCUCUUCUCCAGCCCCCUGCCUCCACCACUGUUUGGUUAUCUUGUGAUCUCUUCCCUCCUCCCUCAACACACACAGCCAACUCAUUCUCCACAUACAUUAAGGAGUCUUCUAGAACACAAAUCUGAUCAAGUCCUGGCUUUGCCUUCAACCCUUCCAAGACUCCCAUUACCUGCAGGAUAAAAUCCCAAUAUCCUCACACAACCUGCAUGAUCUAGGACCUCCCUGCUGAGAGUAAUUGCCUAUCAUUGUCCCACCAGCUACACCAAACAACUAGCCCACUCAAGACCACAUCUUAUCUGGAUUCUCCAAUAUUAAUAUGAGAAUGAUUCACCUGGGAAGUUCACAGAGAAUGCAGAUUCCCAGGACCCUCCUAAUUUCAAUAAGCAGAGGGGAGGGAGAUCCCGAAAUCUGCAUUUUGAUCAGUUUCUCCACUGAUUCUUAGGGAAUUCUUCCUUUGAUUAAAAAAGAUUCCACUAGGAGCUCCUGGGUGGCUGAGUCAUUUAAGCAGCCUACUCUUGAUUUCAGCUCAGGUCAUGAUCUCAGGGUUGUGAGAUCAAGCCUGGCAUCAGGCUCCCCACUCAGUGGGAAGUCUGCUUGAGAUUCUCUCCCUCUGCCUCUCCCCCCUGCUUCUGUUCUCUCUCUCUCUGAAAUAAAUAAAUAAAUCUUUUUAAAAAGAUUUUAU